rnacentral:rRNA from 1 species
CUGACCAUCGCCGUCAUGGUGCUCCUCCUCGGCAUGGCGGGCGCCGCCCACGGCCUGACGAGGGUGGUCGCCAACAGCCCCGACGAGCCGUGCAUGAACAUGACGCUCUACUACCACAACAUCCUCUACAAGGGCAACAACACGGCCAACGCGACGGCGGCGGCCACCAAGCCGACGGUGCUGGCCACGACUUACUGGAAGAACAGCACCUACUUCGGCGCGCUGAUGGUGUUCAACCACCCCAUGACGGUGGGGAGGGCGCUGCGCCUGGAGCCGGCGGCACGCGCGCAGGGGUUCUACUUCUACGAUAAGCAGGAGUUGCUGACCUCCUGGUUCGGCUUUUCCAUCGUCUUCAACUCGACCGCAAACAAGGGCACGCUCAACCUCGUCGGCGCCGACUUCAUGGGCGACGCCACGCGGGACUUCUCCGUCGUCGGCGGCACCGGCGACUUCUUUGUGGCGCUCGGCAUCGCAACCAUCCGCACCGAUGCCAUCGAGGGCCUCUACUACUUCCGCCUGCAGAUGGACAUCAAGCUCUACGAGUGCUACGUCGGUACAACAUGCAUGCCCUGUGUGUGUGAACGAAAGCUCGUGUGUGAAUGA